UCAGACUCAUUUUGUAACGAAGGUGUUGACUUAACCGAGCAUCAUGGUUGGUCGAGUCCCUCGAGGCCAUGGUGAUUCGGAGGCCGAACAGGACGGGAAUCACAAGGAGUUGUGAUCGGCAAGAGUUGCCUACCUUUUAGGCUUAGUGUGAUUGGUCGAGUCCCUCGAGGUUACACUAAGACGCUGAUUGGAUCCUGAUCCCCACUAGAAGUCUGCCGGAGACUUCCGUUUCAUGUGCUGAGGGUGUCGCGUGACUCGUUAGUAAAAUAAUG
rnacentral:lncRNA from 1 species